rnacentral:rRNA from 1 species
UACGAGGGGGGCAAGCGUUGUUCGGAAUUAUUGGGCGUAAAGGGCGCGUAGGCGGUUUGACAAGUCUUAUGUGAAAUCUCUGGGCUCAACCCAGAGUCUGCAUGGGAAACUGUCGGGCUUGAGUAUGGGAGAGGUGAGUGGAAUUUCCGGUGUAGCGGUGAAAUGCGUAGAUAUCAGGAAGAACACCCGUGGCUAAGGCGGCUCUCUAGUACGGUACUGACGCUGAGACGCGAAAGCGUGGGGAGCGAACAGG